UUUUAGUAUGAGUCCCACCAGCAAAAACAAGCUGCUCCUGGACUCUCAGCUAAAUAGUUGCCAUUCGAGGCAACUCAGUGAGCAGCUGGUGUCUCUGUAUGUUCUUUAACUGGGGUGACCAAAGACUGCCCUGGCUACAUCUCAAGACUGAAUGGAAGAAGAAGUACUGGGCCCAUCCUCUUCAGGCACAUCUGACUUCCCUGCAGCUGGCUGCGUGGGAUCUGAAUGCACCUAUUGACCUUGGCGGCAGAAAAGCUGUAUCCAGGAUGCUCCAAGGCCACAGCGCUGUGUUCCAGGCCUUGCUGGGGACCUUCUUCACCUGGGGGAUGACAGCAGCUGGGGCAGCUCUCGUGUUCAUAUUCUCUAGUGGACAGAGGCGAAUCCUCGAUGGAAGCCUUGGCUUUGCUGCAGGGGUAAGUUGUGUGUAGGAGGAGAAAUGUCAAUGGAGAUGCAUUUCUUUUGACAUUUCUCUGCUAAGCAUCAUCUCCAGUCUCUUCCCAUGUCACCUAGAUACAUCUCUGGAUUCUCUAAGUGCUAAUGGUUUCCCAUAUUCAUUGCCCAGCUUAUCGGAUGCUCUGCUUCUCAUUAGAUGGUGAGGGAGGAAGCUUGUGUGGUAGCUGUCUCAGGACUUAGAAAAUAAGAUGAUAUUUAGGAAGGGCCUAAUGGGCCUGGCAGAUACACAGUUGGCAGUAAAUAUUUUCUCCCUCUCCUCUUUUUCCUUGUUAAGGGACUUUUUAUUAUAAACAUUUUCAAACAUGAAAAAAAAAACACCGAAAAAACCUAUAUGCAUCCCAGGUGCCCACUACCCUACGUCGGUCAUGACCCACAGUCACUUCACCUGUCUUCUUCCAGCCUUUCUUGGAAGUUGGAAUAUUUUGUACCAACAAAUUCCA
rnacentral:lncRNA from 1 species